rnacentral:rRNA from 1 species
GACGAACGCUGGCGGCGUGCUUAACACAUGCAAGUCGAACGGAAAGGCCCCUUUGGGGGUACUCGAGUGGCGAACGGGUGAGUAACAUGUGAGUAACCUGCCCUUGACUUCGGGAUAACUUCAGGAAACUGGGGCUAAUACCGGAUAGGAAUCCUUGCUGCCUGGUGGGGGUUGGAAAGCUUCGGCGGUUUUGGAUGGACUCGCGGCUUAUCAGCUUGUUGGUGGGGUAGUGGCUUACCAAGGCUUUGACGGGUAGCCGGCCUGAGAGGGCGACCGGCCACAUUGGGACUGAGAUACGGCCCAGACUCCUACGGGAGGCAGCAGUGGGGAAUAUUGCACAAUGGGCGGAAGCCUGAUGCAGCAACGCCGCGUGCGGGAUGACGGCCUUCGGGUUGUAAACCGCUUUCAGCAGGGGCGAAGCUUGUGGUGACGGUACCUGCAGAAGAAGCACCGGCUAACUACGUG